UUUAAACUAGGAAACAAACAGGGCAACGAAAGUCUAAUGUUAGCCAUACUAGUCUCUUAAGGGUAUUAUAUAGUAUUAUAGAACUUACUGACACUAUCUGACACCUUGACCAGCCAGGUGUAAGAUAGUGUAAUCAUUUACAGUUUGCAUUAUGCUGCGUUCACGUGCAGGUGUUGAAGAAGCAGGGAGAGUCCAUCAUGGCUUCCAGCAUCUCCAGGAAUAGUUUGUGCAUGGGUACGCCACCACGGGUCUUAAUGCUGUAGAAGGUGGUAAGAGCACGACCAGCAGUCUGUCGGAGGAGAGGCAAUGUUAAAAGGAGGCGUCCUGCCCUCUGGGGGUCGUCUGGGUGCCGCUGACAUUCCAGCUCCAGCAGGGCCUGGUGGAGGAGGUCCCGCAGCUUCUGUACAGCCUCCAUGUCCUCGAUGUAUACAGAGUCUGACAGAACAGCAGGGAACACAUGAUUUCUGCAGGCUGUUCGAGUACCCUCCCCCUUAUGCUGCGUGACACACUCACUCCAAAGGUCACAGUCACAGGAAUGCUUGAAGGACAGACCGAGUAAAGCCAACACCUUGUCCCUCACUCAUAUACAAAGUCAUAAGCUGAAGUGUGGUGAUAACUCUCUGUAAAUAAUUAAAAAGACCGGUUUUAAUAAACAUUAAUAAACACAGCAUUACAUGAAAAGGUGUUUUAGCCUACUCUUUCAAAUGUAA